GACGAACGCUGGCGGCGUGCUUAACACAUGCAAGUCGAACGGUGAAGCGCCUUCCUUUUUGGUGGGUGUGGAUGAGUGGCGAACGGGUGAGUAACACGUGAGUAACCUGCCCCCUUCUUCUGGAUAACCGCAUGAAAGUGUGGCUAAUACGGGAUAUUCUGGGUCUGUCGCAUGAUGGGUCUGGGAAAGAUAUUGUUUCGGUGGGGGAUGGGCUCGCGGCCUAUCAGCUUGUUGGUGGGGUGAUGGCCUACCAAGGCGGUGACGGGUAGCCGGCCUGAGAGGGUGGAACGUCCCACUGGGGCUGAGACACGGGCCCGACUCCUAAGGGGGGCAGCCGUGGGGAAUAUUGGACAAUGGGGGCAAGCCUGAUGCAGCGACGCCGCGUGAGGGAUGGAGGCCUUCGGGUUGUGAACCUCUUUCGCCAGUGAAGCAGGCCUGCCUCGUUUGUGGGUGGGUUGACGGUAGCUGGAUAAGAAGCGCCGGCUAACUACGUG
rnacentral:rRNA from 1 species